rnacentral:lncRNA from 1 species
UCCCAUCUCUACCACAUUAAUUGGAAUCCUUUUAACUUUUAGCACAGCCUUUUGGUACAUGGCUGGAACAGCAGCCUUAUACAUUAAGACAUUUUCCUCCUAUAACCCAUUCCAACAAAAAAAUUAUAUUAGAAAGAAAGAAUACAGCAUAUAUAUGUAUUAUCCUGAUAAUAAUAAUAAAAUGUAAAAUAAUAAAAGAAAUUGUAAAUACCAUAUCAGCACUUUGACUUCCACUGACCAAUUGCUUAUCUUCAAUGUCAUUGAUCUAGAAGAAAUGAAAAAAUCUAAUUAGAAAUUCUACAAAGUCUAAUUCUAAUGUGAGGGAGAAAUUAUUAGGCUUGACGUGUGUACCAAGGAAGCAUGAGCCUUCACCAUAUCUUCUAGAUUGAAGUUCCAGCAUUUA